rnacentral:lncRNA from 10 species
AAAGACUUACAGUUUAUAUAUAAUAAGGAUCAACCUCUCCCCCACCGCUCAUUUGUAGAUAGAAUGUGCAUUUGGAGGUAAUACUAUCCUGGCUAUUUGCUUGACAUUUCUGAACAGAGCUUAAGUACAGGAAGUAAUGAAGAGCAGUGAUAAUGGAAGGAAAUGCUGAACAAUAUUAUUAUUCAGCUCAGUUCCUACCUUCUGCCUCCCACAUGCUGUUUUUCAGCAGUAGGGGCUAUCUUUGGUGGGGUAUUUUUGUUUUUUGUUUUUUUGCAUUUUGAUGUGGGGAGGAGGAAAAUAUCUCCAGUCCUUAGAAGACAAAGAGGUUGGCAUGCUUGGGAGAGACAGGAUUCAUUUUUGCUGUGUUUCAGGAACACCCUCCAGUCCCCUGACUUCUGACUUUACUCCACACAGGCACUUGUCCUUCAUUCAGCCACUGUCCUGUAUUCGGGACUAUGGCUUCAGGACAUUGGCAGCUGAUUAUUGUUACUGUCCCGGGCUAUAAAUAAGGUUAACCUAUAUCCAAUCAGUUAUCCAGACCAAAUUUUCCCUUAUAGCCUAGUUUGAAACUGCAAAAUGCAAAAUGUUUCAAGCUCCUUGUCCUGUAGCAGGAGACAAGUCUGAUUCUACACAGAGUUCCUUUGCCUUAUGUGAGCCUGCAGAUAAAUAUUUUGGAAUAUGUGUGUGUAUAUAUAUAUAUGUAUAUAUGUAUAUAUAUGUGUGUGUGUGUGUGUGUGUGUGUGUGUGUAUAAAAAUAUUUUUAAGAAAACACAAAGAAAACUAUUUUCCCAUGAUUCCUAUUUUUGCCAUUA